rnacentral:rRNA from 1 species
UACAGAGGUCUCAAGCGUUGUUCGGAUUCAUUGGGCGUAAAGGGUGCGUAGGUGGCGUCGUAAGUCGGGUGUGGAAAUUUCGGAGCUUAACUCCGAAACUGCAUUCGAUACUGCGGUGCUUGAGGACUGGAGAGGAGACUGGAAAUUUACGGUGUAGCAGUGAAUGCGUAGAGAUCGUAAGGAAGACCAGUGGCGAAGGCGGGUCUGCUGGACAGUUUCCUGACACUGAGGCACGAAAGGCCAGGGAGCAAACGGG